rnacentral:rRNA from 1 species
GAUGAACGCUGGCGGCGUGCCUAAUACAUGCAAGUCGAGCGAACAGACGAGAGUGCUUGCACUCUCUGACGUUAGCGGCGGACGGGUGAGGAACACGUGGGUAACCUACCUAUAAGACUGGGAUAACUUCGGGAAACCGGAGCUAAUACCGGAUAAUAUUUAGCUUCGCAUGAAGCAAUAGUGAAAGACGGUUCUGCUGUCACUUAUAGAUGGACCCGCGGUGUAUUAGCUAGUUGGUGAGGUAACGGCUCACCAAGGCAACGAUACAUAGCCGACCUGAGAGGGUGAUCGGCCACACUGGGACUGAGACACGGCCCAGACUCCUACGGGAGGCAGCAGUAGGGAAUCUUCCGCAAAGGACGAAAGUCUGACGGAGCAAUGCCGCGUGAGUGAAGAAGGUUUUCGGAUCGUAAAACUCUGUUGUAAGGGAAGAACAAGUACGUUAGUAACUGAACGUACCUUGACGGUACCUUACCAGAAAGCCACGGCUAACUACGUG